rnacentral:rRNA from 1 species
CUAGGGAACCCGGGUGAAAGCCUGGGUGCCCGCAGGGAGCCCUAGCACAGGUGCUGCAUGGCCGUCGUCAGCUCGUGCCCGUGAGGGUGUUGGGGUUAAGUCCCGCAACGAGCGCAAACCCCCGCCGUUAGUUGCCAGCGGUUCGGCCGGGCACUCUAACGGGACUGCCCGCGAAAGCGGGAGGAAGGAGGGACGACGUCUGGUCAGCAUGGCCCUUACGGCCUGGGCGACACACGUGCUACAAUGCCCACUACAAAGCGAUGCCACCCGGCAACGGGGAGCUAAUCGCAAAAAGGUGGGCCCAGUUCGGAUUGGGGUCUGCAACCCGACCCCAUGAAGCCGGAAUCGCUAGUAAUCGCGGAUCAGCCAUGCCGCGGUGAAUACGUUCCCGGGCCUU